AUUGAACGCUGGCGGCAGGCCUAACACAUGCAAGUCGAGCGAGCGGCGGACGGGUGAGUAAUGUAUGGGGACUGCCCGAUAGAGGGGGAUAACUACUGGAAACGGUAGCUAAUACCGCAUACUAUCGGAUAACCCAUAUGGGAGUAGCUAGUAGGUGAGGUAAUGGCUCACCUAGGCGACGAUCCCUAGCUGUACUGAGAGGAUGAUCAGCCACACGGGGACGUAGACAAGGCCCUGAAUCCUACGGAGGCAGCAGUGGGGAAUAUUGCACAAUGGGCGCAAGCCUGAUGCAGCCAUGCCGCGUGUAUGAAGAGGGCCCUAGGGUUGUAAAGUACUUUCAGUCGGGGGGCGUUACCGACAGAAGAAGCACCGGCUAACUCCGUGCCAGCAGCCGCGGUAAUUC
rnacentral:rRNA from 1 species